rnacentral:rRNA from 1 species
GCGCGGUCCUCGGUCCAGGCAGGCGGCAUUGCACCGCGGGCUAUAACACUCCCCGAAGGGAGCCACAUUCCCGCAGCCUUUGUCCCACCGUCCAAACCGAUGCUGGCCUCGCAAUAGCUGAGUGCACGCACCAGAAGGUACGUUGAUCAACUAAAGCA